rnacentral:rRNA from 1 species
GAUGAACGCUGGCGGCGUGCCUAAUACAUGCAAGUCGAGCGAACAGACGAGGAGCUUGCUCCUCUGACGUUAGCGGCGGACGGGUGAGUAACACGUGGAUAACCUACCUAUAAGACUGGGAUAACUUCGGGAAACCGGAGCUAAUACCGGAUAAUAUAUUGAACCGCAUGGUUCAAUAGUGAAAGACGGUUUUGCUGUCACUUAUAGAUGGAUCCGCGCCGCAUUAGCUAGUUGGUAAGGUAACGGCUUACCAAGGCAACGAUGCGUAGCCGACCUGAGAGGGUGAUCGGCCACACUGGAACUGAGACACGGUCCAGACUCCUACGGGAGGCAGCAGUAGGGAAUCUUCCGCAAUGGGCGAAAGCCUGACGGAGCAACGCCGCGUGAGUGAUGAAGGUCUUCGGAUCGUAAAACUCUGUUAUUAGGGAGGAACAAUGUGUAAGUAACUAUGCACGUCUUGACGGUACCUAAUCAGAAAGCCACGGCUAACUACGUG